GAUGAACGCUGGCGGCGUGCUUAACACAUGCAAGUCGAACGAAGUCGCGAACGGGUGACUAACGCGUAAUCAACCUGCCCUUCAGUGGGGGACAACAGUUGGAAACGACUGCUAAUACCUCAUACUGACGGAGGGGAUUGAGUCUGCUUAGCUAGCUGCAGGGGUAACGGCCCCACAAGGCGAUGGUCAGCAGCCGGGCUGGGAGGAUGAACGGCCACAUGUGGACUGGGGCACGGCCCAGACUCCUACGGGAGGCAGCAGGGGGGAAACUUCCGAAAUGGACGAAAGGCUUACGGAGCAACGCCGCGGGGGGUAUGACGGCCUUCGGGAUGUAAAGCUCUUUUAAUCGGGACGCGGUACCGAAAUAGAAAGUCACGGCUAACUACGUGCCAGCAGCCGCGGUAAUUC
rnacentral:rRNA from 1 species